rnacentral:tRNA from 1 species
CAGGGUGUAGUUUAAGAAAAUAUUAAUUUUGGGAAUUAAUGAUAGGGGUGUGACUCCUUACUCUGA